GAAAAAAGAAAAUAUGGAAAAAGAAAAAUAUCUUGUUAAAUUGGAUGAGGAACUUAGAAUUCUUAAUGAGAAACAAGAGAAAAUCCAAGAAGAAAUUAGUAAAAGCAAGAGCAAAACCAAGAGUAGGAGUAGGAGUCAUACAAGUUGGAGUUCUAGAACUCCAACUCAACCCACACACUAUGAGGUAGAUAGUAGGCUUGCCUAUCAAUACUAUUAACCUCCCCC
rnacentral:lncRNA from 1 species